rnacentral:sRNA from 1 species
GCUGGGUGCAGUGGCGCAUGCCUGUAAUCCCAGCGACUCUAGAGGCUGAGGUAGGAGGAUCAUGAGUUCAAAGCCAGCCUCAGCAAUGGUGAGACGCUAAGCAACUCAGUGAGACCCUGUCUCUA